rnacentral:rRNA from 1 species
GACGAACCGAGCAAACGUUAUUCGGAAUCACUGGGCUUAAAGGGCGCGUAGGCGGGUAUCCAAGUCUAUGGUGAGAUCCGGCAGCUUAACUGUCGAACUGCCGUGGAUACUGGGUAUCUCGAGGGGAGGUAGGGGCGUGCGGAACUAUUGGUGGAGCGGUGAAAUGCGUUGAUAUCAAUAGGAACUCCGGUGGCGAAGGCGGCACGCUGGACCUCUUCUGACGCUGAGGCGCGAAAGCCAGGGGAGCAAACGGG